GACCCGUCUUGAACCACGGAGUCUAACAAGUGUGCGAGUUAUUGGUCUAAAACAAUGUGACUUGAGUUUUGUUACUCUAUUUUAAGUUUUUGGUUUUAAUUCAAAAAAGAGAAUAGCGGCGGCGGCUUCUCAAGUACAUUAAACUAAAUAAAAACUAAAAGCAAAAUGAAAGUGAAAAGAAAGAACAGAAGCAUUGUGUAAUAACGUGUUUUGGUUUUUCUAAAAUGAUGAGAUCGAUUUGCUGCUGCUUUGAAAAAAGCGACGAAAAAGAGAUCGCAAUCAUUGAAUAUUCAGGACACGUGUUUUUUGUUGGCGACUGAUGACGGAGAUGGCGCAAGUUGUUUUCGUUGUUGUUGUCAGCUGUUCACGAGGUCGGAGGUCGGAAUAUAUCAAGAGCAUACUUGUUGGGACCCGAAAGAUGGUGAACUAUACCUGGCCAGGAUGAAGUCAGGAGAAAUUCUGAUGGAGGUCCGAAGCGAUUCUGACGUGCAAAUCGAUCGUCAGAGCUGGGUAUAGGGGCGAAAGACUAAUCGACCCAUCUAGUAGCUGGUUCCUUCCGA
rnacentral:rRNA from 1 species